rnacentral:lncRNA from 1 species
CGUGACAAUUUUAGAAUUUUAUUUUUUUUUAGGUUUCAAGAACAACACAUGUAUAUAUGUAACGUUUUAUGCUAGGUACUUCGACGGACCCAAGGCAAUAUUUUCUAACUAAUGAUUUAGUAUUAGUGUACAUGGAGAAUAAAAUGAAAUGCUAUGUUUUUGUUUCAACAGGAUGCUAGCAGGCUUCGCAAGCUGAACAUUCCAUAACAAAUGAGUCUGUGUUAACUUAGUAUUAUUUUGACAUAAAGUGUUCCAUCCGAAUUGUAACUACUUGACGGUUCAAAAAUGGAUUAUUAAUUGCAAGUUGAAUCAGAUUUGAAAAUAUUGGACUGUUAUGAGAACUGUUAGUUAUUUUUUAGAGAUGGUUAGAAAAAAAAAGACAUAUUUGGAAAAACGUGAUACCUAAAAGAUCACUUUUAAGGAUGUUCAGAUAUAACAUGAGGUCUCUUUUUUUUUUCAAAAUUGUGAAAAGUUUUUGGUUUUUUGGGUGAAGACGUUAGGCCUUGUUU